UAGUAAUAGAACCUAUGACUCAUCAGUCUCAUCAGUCAUAGUUCUAUGACUCUGCCUUUAGUAAUUCCAUUUUGUCGUAUUAUUAACUUGGUUCAAUGUUUGAAUUCUUAAAAUGAGGAUUAAGUGUUGUGUUUUUUUUUGUAUCAGUAACACCUAUGGGAAAAACAAACCCAAACUUUUUUUUUCAUGGCCAAAAGACGAGAAUUCAUUGAGCCACAGCUCAAUGAUAUGCUCAAUGAUCCAACAGUUCUGUAACUGGAUUUUCGAAGCAUUUUAAGCUACUUAAAUGUUUGUGUUGCUAAAAAUAAAACUGUGUUAGAUAAUCAGUCAAACAACACAUUGUUCUUUUAUUUGAAUGGACAAUCAAGAUCUCAACAACUAGAGCCUGUCAACUCUAAUCGUACUCAUACUCCAACUACAUACACUGCAAGUAACUUGAGUACAUAGCCAUCCAACUCACCUUUCUCUGAUGUCAAUGGAAAAUCAAGAUCUCAACAUCCACAGACUUUCACCAUCUCCAAUUGUACUGAUACUCCAACAUCCACUAAACUUGAGUACACAGUCAACCAAAUCACCAAAUUCUCAAAUGGGACUGGACAAUCAAGAUGUCAACAACUAGAGCUUGUCACCAUCUCUCAUUGUACUGAUCCUCCAACAUCCACUGUAAGCACAAUAAUGUUAAGUUGUUAAGUAAAAUGCAUGUUCAUUAGUUUGUGCUUCUGUUUUAAUUGGGUUAUUGACAAUACAGUGGGCUAUUACUAUAAACAA